rnacentral:lncRNA from 10 species
CUUGAAACUGGGAGGCAGAGAUUGCAGUGAGUCGAGAUCUUGCCAUUGCACUCCAGCCUGGCGACAGAGCUACAUUCAGUCUCAAAACAACAACAACAAACAACAACAACUUACGGUGAAGGCAAUUGGAUAUACCUUUAAAAAAUGAUGAGACACCACAUGCCUGCUUAACUCUGAUCUUUUAACUCAAUGGGAGAAUCUACAGGGAAAUUCCCUGGACAACGCUGCAUUGUCUUUGUUUACACAUGGCUCAUAUUUAAAGAAUGAUUCUGAAAACAUCAGCUUCUUUGUGGACCUGCAUUCCUGUCAACAAAUUGAAAUUAAAAAUGCCUGGGAUUUGAAGAAGAUAGCAUCUGAAUAGACGACUUUUCCCAAGAUGGACCAGGCCUGUAUAUCUUUUUCUAAUUUCUGAUUCUCAUUUAUUUUAUAUCCCUCUCCCCUAAAAGGAAAAUGCCCUUAUUGACAUUUUCCAGUCUGUCACCACCAGGAAUUCUUAAUAAUUUUUGGAUGUGCCAUCAGAAACUUCAACACGUUUAUGACUCUAAUAACUCCCUACUUCAACCUAUAACAGAUUUCACUAAGAUCUCGUCUCAAACCACCUGUAAAAAUUGCACUGUUGUACCCUUCUAUUGAAGGCUUCUGUUGAAGGCUUCUGUUGAAGGCUUCUGAUGAAGCUUCUGUUGAAGCUUCCUCAUUUACCCUUAACUCCUCUUCUUUGCCUUACCUUGUUAGUGGCCUCCUAAUUCUGCCUCGGGGAUUUUCAAUAAAUUGUUACUUCU